AUGAUCUGGCUCUCAAAUCAGGUAGGACUACCCGCUGAACUUAAGCAUAUCA
rnacentral:rRNA from 1 species